AAGAGCCGCAUCAGGAGUCAGCCAUGGAUGAACAGGAGUACCCAGACUCGCGCAGAACGACGCAGGGACGGAGCACCAGAGAUCCAAUAAUAGCAGGAAUGCAUCUGGAACAGUCCGCAGCGCCGCCUCAUACAGGAGUCGUCGCGUUGUGAGGCAGUAGCAAAGCCACUGCAGAUAAUAGGCAGACACCUCGAUAAAUAUUAGCGAGAGUUCGCAGUGUUAACGGCAGGCGGCAGAAAUCGCGCUGGAUAUUAUUUUAAU
rnacentral:misc_RNA from 1 species